rnacentral:tRNA from 1 species
UGGCUCAGUGGUCGAGUGUGUGCCUACCAAGCACAAGGCCCUGGGUUCUAUCCCCAG